GGUGCUGUGCCUGAAACUAAAGGGCCACUUUGAUGUAGUGGAUCAUGAGGGCUAAAAUCCCUUCAACACCU
rnacentral:tRNA from 1 species